ACAUUGUAGUGCUGUGUGGAGCGUUCUUUUUUUCUCUCAGAUUACGUCUGUCUCUCUCGUGUCAGGUUCUAGCGGGGCCCCUCGUCCCCAGAGACAGAUUACAUUCAAACGCACCAUUCAGCGCAAACUUACCGGAUCACGAGCAGCUUUCCCAAGCGCUCGCCAACUGCUGCACUGCAAACUGAAACUUGGUCACAGCGGCCGGAUCGGUGGCAAACACCUGCACAUCAUUAGUCAUUAGAUUUGUUAGCGCUUUCGGCUCGGUUUGCACGCACCGGUGAAGGUGCACGAGAGAACUCGAGGAACCCGCUGAUUGCGCGUGCGAGCGCGCACAUCUCCUCCAAUCGUGCCCUCUCGCAGUGACGAGAACAACGCCACGCUCUACACGCUCGGGGUUCAAAGUGCUGCACAAGAACCCUUCGUCAGGACGUCCUGAAGUUUACUGGAACGCUGAAGGAACUGGUUUAGAGACCGUGCACGGAUCUCAAAGUCCCAAACACUGAACAGAACUACUAAAACGAUCUCCUGGUGUGUUUUUAAGAAAACAGCGCGUGCAGGGAGAGAUCUGGCAUCGCCC
ensembl:lncRNA